rnacentral:piRNA from 1 species
UAGGAAAACUUAUAGGAAAAA